rnacentral:rRNA from 1 species
CCUACGUGGUGCAGCAGUGAGGAAUAUUGGUCAAUUGCCGUAAGGCUGAACCAGCCAAUUCGCGUGAAGGAAGCAGGAUCUCUGUUUUGUAAACUUCUUUUAUAGGGGAAUCAAGGUAUCCACGUGUGGAUAUUUGCAUGUACCCUAUGAAUAAGCAUCGGCUAACUCCGUGCCAGCAGCCGCGGUAAUACGGAGGAUGCUAGCGUUAUCCGGAUUUAUUGGGUUUAACGGGUUCGUAGGUUUUUUUUUAAGUCAGCGGUGAAAGUUUGUGGCUCAACCAUAAAAUUGCCGUUGAAACUGGAAGACUUGAGUGUGUUUGAGGUAGGCGGAAUGCGUGGUGUAGCGGUGAAAUGCAUAGAUAUCACGCAGAACUCCGAUUGCGAAGGCAACUUACUAAGCCAUAACUGACACUGAAGCACGAAAGCAUGGGGAUCAAACAGGAUUAGAUACCCCAGUAGUC